rnacentral:rRNA from 1 species
UGGCGAACGGGUGAGUAACACGUGGGAAAUCUGCCUAUGAGUGGGGGAUAACAUUCGGAAACGGAUGCUAAUACCGCAUACAUUCUUGGACCGCCUGGUCCUUGAAAGAAAGACGGCUUUGCUGUCGCUUAUAGAUGAUCCCGCGGCGUAUUAGUUAGUUGGUGGGGUAAUGGCCUACCAAGACCAUGAUACGUAGCCGACCUGAGAGGGUGAUCGGCCACACUGGGACUGAGACACGGCCCAGACUCCUACGGGAGGCAGCAGUAGGGAAUCUUCCACAAUGGGUGCAAACCUGAUGGAGCAAUGCCGCGUGAAUGAAGAAGGUCUUCGGAUCGUAAAGUUCUGUUAUUAGAGAAGAACAAGUCAAGGAGUAACUGUCUUGACUUUGACGGUACCUAACCAGAAAGUCACGGCUAACUACGUGCCAGCAGCCGCGGUAAUACGUAGGUGACAAGCGUUGUCCGGAAUUAUUGGGCGUA